GAGUUAUCGUUAUUUGUUAAAAUAUUUCCUUUUUUUUUUUUAUAUUGAAUUAUCUUUCUUUACGACUUAGACUUCAAACCCGUUUAGAGUUACCAUACUUAAUUCGAGCACGUACUUCCUGUUUACCUGUGAGUGUGUUUCACGCAUCGGUCGAUUGUUCCAAUCAUUCAUUUUCUACUUAGAGAUAGCACACACUUCUUUUACCACACAUGAAGUACAUAAUAAAGACUACGCACCGUCCUAUUGUGUCUUUGGUUAAACUAUCUGCAAAAGUAAUGGCAGAAUAGUAAAAGAAGUGUUCCUAUCAAGAUGUCUGACGCAGAAGACCGGCUAAGUAGAAUAAGAACUCUAACAAAGAAAGGACGAGAGUUUUUCUACAGUAAACUAGAGUCUUACGUUAGGGAUGUCGAUAAGUCCUGGAAGGAGUUUGAAGACAUUUUAGUGAAUUUCGAUGAAUCUUCCACAGACAUUAAAUACCUCCGAAAAAUUGAGACAGAUCUAGAGAAAGCAAAAAAGCAUUAUGUCAUGGAUACAGAUGUACUGUUUUCCUUUUUUAAUCGUUCUCACACGGAAGAGAGUGAAGUGGAAAUGGAGAAACAUUUAGUGAAAAAUGAAAGAUGUCAUACAGUGAUGGAUAAUUUCAG